CAAUAUUCUUGUACUUUGCAUGAUGAAGGUCUAGUACGGAAACGCUGCCAGCUAUUACAUUUAUCUUUGCAAGUUAGACGGUGUGCGGGAGUUUUUGUGCCACUUUUGACCUACGCUUCCCUCUCCAACGCACCUGUCUCACGUUAGAUAAAUAGA